UAAGUGUUGAAAACUCCAUGCCCACUUA
rnacentral:sRNA from 1 species